rnacentral:rRNA from 1 species
ACGAACGCUGGCGGCGUGCUUAACACAUGCAAGUCGAGCGGUAAGGCCUUUCGGGGUACACGAGCGGCGAACGGGUGAGUAACACGUGGGCGACCUGCCCUCAGCUCUGGGAUAAGCCUGGGAAACUGGGUCUAAUACCGGAUAUGACCACAUGUCGCAUGGUGUGUGGUGGAAAGUUUUUCGGCUGGGGAUGGGCCCGCGGCCUAUCAGCUUGUUGGUGGGGUGAUGGCCUACCAAGGCGACGACGGGUAGCCGGCCUGAGAGGGCGACCGGCCACACUGGGACUGAGAUACGGCCCAGACUCCUACGGGAGGCAGCAGUGGGGAAUAUUGCGCAAUGGGCGAAAGCCUGACGCAGCGACGCCGCGUGGGGGAUGAAGGCCUUCGGGUUGUAAACCUCUUUCGACCGGGACGAAGAGAAAUUGACGGUACCGGUAUAAGAAGCACCGGCCAACUACGU